GAAAGGUUCGUAUCAGAACCGCUCUCGGUUCGACUUGUGUGCUUCUCCGUCCUACUUCCACCGAACUAGGAGUCCAAAUGAAGGUGGGGCGGUGAAACAGCGACACCAUGUGGCGGAUCUGCAGCAGGUCCAUUUGAGUUCCGCUGGUCCUGUUGCUGGAAGCAGAAGCACGGACUCUCGUUUUUGAGCUGAUUUUUUUUUUUUUUUUUUCUGCUGGGAGUCGUCGCUCUGGCUUCCUGCUUGGAGGCAGCAGCAGAAUGACGUCAGCCUGACCCGAUCGGACCAGUUUUCUCUUUCUCCACACAGAUCCCUGCUUCUGCACCACUUUGUGUGUGACCACCAGCCCAUGGGGGUUGGUCGAAGCUGCUGUGGGGGUUGGUAAAGGGUCAAAGGUUGUCCUGGUGGGGGUGUUGACUCACCCUUUUGUUGUAGCGCUUCCAGCAAACCAGUCGCGCUUGUCUGACGUGACAAAACCCCCCUUCUUUUCCCAGAAUCCUUCUAAAAAGCCUCUCACAAACUCAGAAAAAAAAACAAAUUUUAAUCUGAUCAGAAGCAUUUAAGUCCAACUUUGAAUGGAGAGGUUGAACCUGAGACAAUCCUGUUUCAUGGGAGCAACAGUGAUCCUUUUUGGUGUUUUUUCAUCAUUGUGGCUCCCUUUAAAGUCCACGUCCUUUCCUCAGAUCAGACCUCAUGCUUAAGAAGAGGGGCAGAGGGGAGGGUUUAAAAAGCGCUCGGAGGCUUUGGCUCAUUGCACUAGUUCUCUAGUGCAUAUACUAAAAUUGGAACGAUACAGAGAAGAUUAGCAUGGCCCCUGCGUUCCUCAUUUUCUCUUUUUAAAAUCAGUUUCAUCUAUCUGUGUGUCCUUAUUUAAAUAAAAAGUAGUCUUUAAUGUGAUACAUUCAGCUAAAAUUGGACAAUGUUUAAUGGAGUUCAUUAUAAAAGUUCCAGAAAAACUCAACAGACAGAUGUUUAUAUGUAAAUAAUAGAAAAACAAACCAGAAACGAGUUGAGAGAAGACGAAUCAUUUCAUCACAUCUUGGUGAGCUGGUUUGAUAUGGAAAAAUCAAUAUAUUGAAGUAAAAUUGUUCAUUUUUCAGAAAGUCUGAGGAUCCGA